rnacentral:lncRNA from 1 species
CUGAAAAAACAAUUGACAGCCAGUAGGGUGGAAUAUCCUACAAUAUAUGCCGAUGGAACCUCUUGUUUUUAUUUCAGACUUAUCUGCGGGCGGCCACACACCGAUUUUGAGCGACCCAUUUGCCCAAAACCCAAACCCACGUCCUUAAAAACUGCCUAAUCUCAAUCUUCUAUCUUCUAUAUAAAACCCAUUUGCCCCCUUUUUCUUUCGUAUCUGUCGUUGAAGGAAUUGCCUUCGAAAAAGUUUGAAGCUUUUCUGGUUUUUCAUCGUGGGUAUUUUGUUACAGAGUGGAAAAAGAUGUCUGCAGUGGUGGAGAUCUGGAUGAGUAAGCUUGCAAAGUUCAGAGAGAAGGUGCAGGCGAAGAAGCCAUUAAUGGUGUCAAAGCCUAAACCAGUCGCCAAGACAGCAGAAGCUGCUGAGACGAAAGAAGUGAGUAGAUCAUCAUCAGAGGUUCAUGCAGAAUCUACCAUGUCAGAAACUACUGUGUUUUUGCUUAUGGAUCGUUUUGUACCUUGGUGAUAAAUUAGUACUCAACCUGCCAUAAUCUGUAAAAAUAUGUUAAAAAAAAAAAAAAAGGAAACCUCCUUUCUUCUGUAUAAUUCUCGAAGUACAAAGCUUUUGAGAGCUGUGUUUUCUUUUUUUUUCAGGCCAAUGGCAUGAUUGCUGUGAAUAUUUUUUUUCUUCUUUGAAUUAUCUUUUUCCGUGUGCUUGAUUUGCAAAUUUCAACUUUUUGAUUGAGUUUAGUCCGUUAAUAAUUUUGAGUUUCCAAAUAAUGAAUUCAUUUGUUCCCAACACAGCCUGAGUUUCUGUGUUCUUGAUUUGCAAAUUUCAACUUUUUAACUACUGGGUCUGUUGUUCUAUUUAUGGUAUAUAACUUGAAUCCAAGUGGGUAAGUUUGGUUUGGCUGUUCAUCAAUAUUCAAGGCAGGCGCUAUAUAGAACUUGAAGAUGACAAACCAAAUUUGCAAUAUGAAGCACUUUGCUUACGGUCAUCUACAGUUUGGGUGUAUGUAUAACGUUUCACAUCUACACUCAAAUGGAAGAUUAUACUACAGAUGAUUUCAUUGCUAAUGCAUAUGAAUUUUAUCGGUAAUUGCUUGUUGAAUGGUGGGGAGGGUGUGGGUUCUACUCUGUAAAUGUAUUAUUUUAUUAAUUCAAUUUAUGAAUUUCUUCUCGAAAAUAUAAAACUAGUUAGUGUUCUCUGUCCUUCCUUUUCUUUUAAGGGGGAAAAAAACUUUCAUGUUUCAGGACUCUCAUGUUCUCAAAUUCCUCCAUGGUUACUUUUGAAUUUAAAGGGGAAAAAAAGAGAAAAAAAAAAAACAACUUGCUUAGAAUUCUAAUCAAGUAGAAGAAAUGAAGUGAUUGGGGGGAAAGAAAAUUACAAAAGCCAUCUCAAUUCUUCUAAGAAACCGACAAUUACUACAAGAGCAAUGCAAUUGGAAGCCACCUUUUUCCACAUGAUCCAAAAAGCAUAAAAAUCUCAAGCCAUCUGCAAGAUGCAGAUGAACCUCUUAUUAAAUUCUUUAAAAAGAAUCUGUGAGUUUCCCACGUUAUGUCCAUUCUACAAAUAUCUAAGAAAAAAUCUGAAACUUGUAGUCUUCAUUCUCUUGUCCUAUAUAAGACUUGUGUCCCUAUGCUUAUCACAACUUGUUUUUUAGCAGAAACAAACAGGUCUUGAAUAUUCAAGAGGUUGUACUUUCCUCCAUGGUGGUCGAAAGCUCGUUAAAUGAUGGUUCCUCUACAUUCCAC